AUAAACGAACAAUGGUUGAAC
ensembl:piRNA 21ur-4516 ncRNA